UGAUGUGAGGGAGAUCUGGCUCUGACAGCUGUCACCCCAUUGAUUGCCAGGUUCAUUCAGCUGAUCUGGCUAGGCAGGUAUCCCCUCCCUCCCUCACAGCUACAAUGUGUCUCCCUACCAAAGCUGCAAUUUUCCUAUUGAAGAGGAUGGCCUUCCCCAAAGAAGAGCCCUCACGGUUCUUUGGUUGAGGGUGUACAAGUAGCUGCAUUUCCUUGCUAGAACCUCCAAAGAAGUUCUCAAGAAACUGUAAUAGACAGUGGAUUGUAUCUCAUCCAGUAGACGAAAUGCAUUAAAAUACAUGAGGACUUGGAUUU
rnacentral:snRNA from 1 species